CCUACGGGUGGCAGCAGUGGGGAAUAUUGCACAAUGGGGGAAACCCUGAUGCAGCGACGCCGCGUGAGUGAAGAAGUAUUUCGGUAGGUAAAGCUCUAUCAGCAGGGAAGAGAAUGACGGUACCUGACUAAGAAGCCCCGGCUAACUACGUGCCAGCAGCCGCGGUAAUACGUAGGGGGCAAGCGUUAGCCGGAUUUACUGGGUGUAAAGGGAGCGUAGGUGGCAGGGCAAGUCAGAUGUGAAAACCCGGGGCUCAACCCCGGGCGUGCAUUUGAAACUGUCCAGCUGGCGUGCAGGAGAGGUAAGCGGAAUUCCUGGUGUAGCGGUGACAUGCAUCGAUCUUAGGAGGAACACCAGUGGCGAAGGCGGCUUACUAGACUGUACCUGACACUGAGGCUCGAAAGCGUGGGGAGCAAACAGGAUUAGAUACCCUAGUAGUC
rnacentral:rRNA from 1 species